GCCAGGGUAGCUCAAUGGUGGAGCAGAGAUUUCAUAAGUCUAAGGUUGAGAGUCCGAUCCUCUCCCCUGGCA
rfam:Candidatus Gottesmanbacteria bacterium RIFCSPHIGHO2_01_FTLL_42_12 rifcsphigho2_01_scaffold_2100, whole genome shotgun sequence.